rnacentral:rRNA from 1 species
UACGUAGGGUGCGAGCGUUGUCCGGAAUUACUGGGCGUAAAGAGCUCGUAGGUGGUUUGUCGCGUUGUUCGUGAAAACUCACAGCUUAACUGUGGGCGUGCGGGCGAUACGGGCAGACUGGAGUACUGCAGGGGAGACUGGAAUUCCUGGUGUAGCGGUGGAAUGCGCAGAUAUCAGGAGGAACACCGGUGGCGAAGGCGGGUCUCUGGGCAUUACCUGACGCUGAGGAGCGAAAGUGUGGGGAGCGAACAGG